rnacentral:rRNA from 1 species
AAAUUGAAGAGUUUGAUCAUGGCUCAGAUUGAACGCUGGCGGCAGGCCUAACACAUGCAAGUCGAACGGUAACAGGAAGCAGCUUGCUGCUUCGCUGACGAGUGGCGGACGGGUGAGUAAUGUCUGGGAAACUGCCUGAUGGAGGGGGAUAACUACUGGAAACGGUGGCUAAUACCGCAUAACGUCGCAAGACCAAAGAGGGGGACCUUCGGGCCUCUUGCCAUCAGAUGUGCCCAGAUGGGAUUAGCUUGUUGGUGAGGUAACGGCUCACCAAGGCGACGAUCCCUAGCUGGUCUGAGAGGAUGACCAGCCACACUGGAACUGAGACACGGUCCAGACUCCUACGGGAGGCAGCAGUGGGGAAUAUUGCACAAUGGGCGCAAGCCUGAUGCAGCCAUGCCGCGUGUAUGAAGAAGGCCUUCGGGUUGUAAAGUACUUUCAGCGGGGAGGAAGGUGUUGUGGUUAAUAACCGCAGCAAUUGACGUUACCCGCAGAAGAAGCACCGGCUAACUCCGUGCCAGCAGCCGCGGUAAUACGGAGGGUGCAAGCGUUAAUCGGAAUUACUGGGCGUAAAGCGCACGCAGGCGGUCUGUCAAGUCGGAUGUGAAAUCCCCGGGCUCAACCUGGGAACUGCAUUCGAAACUGGCAGGCUUGAGUCUUGUAGAGGGGGGUAGAAUUCGGGUGUAGCGGUGAAAUGCGUAGAGAUCUGGAGGAAUACCGGUGGCGAAGGCGGCCCCCUGGACAAAGACUGACGCUCAGGUGCGAAAGCGUGGGGAGCAAACAGGAUUAGAUACCCUGGUAGUCCACGCCGUAAACGAUGUCUACUUGGAGGUUGUGCCCUUGAGGCGUGGCUUCCGGAGCUAACGCGUUAAGUAGACCGCCUGGGGAGUACGGCCGCAAGGUUAAAACUCAAAUGAAUUGACGGGGGCCCGCACAAGCGGUGGAGCAUGUGGUUUAAUUCGAUGCAACGCGAAGAACCUUACCUGGUCUUGACAUCCACAGAAGAAUCCAGAGAUGGAUUUGUGCCUUCGGGAACUGUGAGACAGGUGCUGCAUGGCUGUCGUCAGCUCGUGUUGUGAAAUGUUGGGUUAAGUCCCGCAACGAGCGCAACCCUUAUCCUUUGUUGCCAGCGGUUAGGCCGGGAACUCAAAGGAGACUGCCAGUGAUAAACUGGAGGAAGGUGGGGAUGACGUCAAGUCAUCAUGGCCUACUUACGACCGGGGCUACACACGUGCUACAAUGGCGCAUACAAAGAGAAGCGACCUCGCGAGAGCAAGCGGACCUCAUAAAGUGCGUCGUAGUCCGGAUUGGAGUCUGCAACUCGACUCCAUGAAGUCGGAAUCGCUAGUAAUCGUGGAUCAGAAUGCCACGGUGAAUACGUUCCCGGGCCUUGUACACACCGCCCGUCACACCAUGGGAGUGGGUUGCAAAAGAAGUAGGUAGCUUAACCUUCGGGAGGGCGCUUACCACUUUGUGAUUCAUGACUGGGGUGAAGUCGUAACAAGGUAACCGUAGGGGAACCUGCGGUUGGAUCACCUCCUUACCUUAAAGAA